rnacentral:misc_RNA from 1 species
GUGAAUCAUCAAAUUUUUGAACGCAAAUUGCACUCUCUGGUAUUCCGGAGAGUAUGUCUGUUUGAGGGUCAGUUUAUAUAAAAAUUGGUGUGGUUGCUGCGUUUAGUGGUGAUGUAACGGAUUUGGGUCGUCUUGCCUUCGGUUAAGUGACUUAACAUUUUGCAAGAUUUUUUUCGAACGUAUUUAAAUGAUUUUACGUACGUUUGCGAUAUCGUAUUCUAGUUGUGGUCUUCCUUAUAUUUG